CAGCCGCCGCGGUAAUACCUGCAGCCCAAGUGGUGGUCGAUUUUAUUGAGUCUAAAACGUUCGUAGCCGGUUUGGUAAAUCUUUGGGUAAAUCGGGAAGCUCAACUUUCCGACCUCCGAAGAGACUGUCAAACUUGGGACCGGGAGAGGCUAGAGGUACUUCUGGGGUAGGGGUAAAAUCCUGUAAUCCUAGAAGGACCACCGGUGGCGAAGGCGUCUAGCUAGAACGGAUCCGACGGUGAGGGACGAAGCCCUGGGUCGCAAACGGGAUUAGAUACCCCGGUAGUCCAGGGUGUAAACGCCGCCGACUUGGUGUUGGAGGCCCUUCGGGGGCAUUCAGUGCCGGAGAGAAGUUGUUAAGUCGGCUACUUGGGGAGUACGUCCGCAAGGAUGAAACUUAAAGGAAUUGGCGG
rnacentral:rRNA from 1 species